UCCGUAGGCGGUGCGGCAAGUCGGAAGUGAAAUCUCUGGGCUUAACUCAGAGGCUGCUUCCGAAACUGCCGUGCUCGAGUGCGAGAGAGGCAAGUGGAAUUGCGGGUGUAGCGGUGAAAUGCGUAGAUAUCCGCAGGAACAUCCGAGGCGAAGGCGGCUCGCUGGACCGCAACUGACGCUGAGGAACGAAAGCUAGGGGAGCAAACAGGAUUAGAUACCCUGGUAGUCCUAGCCCUAAACCAUCAGGACUUGGGGUGCAUCCCGUUCGGGGUGCGUCCCGGAGCUAACGCGUUAAGUCCUGCGCCUGGGGAGUACGGUCGCAAGGCUGAA
rnacentral:rRNA from 1 species